rnacentral:pre_miRNA from 1 species
UUUCUAGUGUAAGUAUGUCCUAUGCACUAUCUGGGAUAUACUUAUACUGAAA